CAUUAAACAUUCCGCCUGGGGAGUACGGGUCGCAAGAUUUAAAACUCAAAGGGAAUUGACGGGGGCCCGCACAAGCGGUGGAGCAUGUGGUUUAAUUGGGAAGCAACGCGCAGAACCUUACCAGCUCUUGACAUUCGGGGUAUGGGCAGUGGAGACAUUGUCCUUCAGUUCGGCUGGCCCCAAAACAGGUGCUGCAUGGCAGUCGUCAGCUCGUGUCGUGAGAUGUUGGGUUAAGUCCCGCAACGAGCGCAACCCUCGCCCUUAGUUGCCAGCAUUCAGUUGGGCACUCUAAGGGGACUGCCGGUGAUAAGCCGAGAGGAAGGUGGGGAUGACGUCAAGUCCUCAUGGCCCUUACGGGCUGGGCUACACACGUGCUACAAUGGUGGUGACAGUGGACAGCGAGACCGCGAGGUCGAGCUAAUCUCCAAAAGCCAUCUCAGUUCGGAUUGCACUCUGCAACUCGAGUGCAUGAAGUUGGAAUCGCUAGUAAUCGCAGAUCAGCAUGCUGCGGUGAAUACGUUCCCGGGCCUUGUACACACCGCCCGUCACACCAUGGGAGUUGGUUUUACCCGAAGGUAGUGCGCUAACCGCAAGGAGGCAGCUAACCACGGUAGGGUCAGCGACUGGGGUGAAGUCGUAACAAGCUAACC
rnacentral:rRNA from 1 species